GACGAACGCUGGCGGCGUGCUUAACACAUGCAAGUCGAACGGAAAGGCCCUGCUUUUGUGGGGUGCUCGAGUGGCGAACGGGUGAGCAACACGUGAGUAACCUGCCCUUGACUUUGGGAUAACUUCAGGAAACUGGGGCUAAUACCGGAUAGGAGCUCCUGCUGCAUAGUGGGGGUUGGAAAGUUUCGGCGGUUGGGGAUGGACUCGCGGCUUAUCAGCUUGUUGGUGGGGUAGUGGCUUACCAAGGCUUUGACGGGUAGCCGGCCUGAGAGGGUGACCGGCCACAUUGGGACUGAGAUACGGCCCAGACUCCUACGGGAGGCAGCAGUGGGGAAUAUUGCACAAUGGGCGGAAGCCUGAUGCAGCAACGCCGCGUGCGGGAUGACGGCCUUCGGGUUGUAAACCGCUUUCGCCUGUGACGAAGCGUGAGUGACGGUAAUGGGUAAAGAAGCACCGGCUAACUACGUGCCAGCAGCCGCGGUGAUACGUAGGGUGCGAGCGUUGUCCGGAUUUAUUGGGCGUAAAGGGCUCGUAGGUGGUUGAUCGCGUCGGAAGUGUAAUCUUGGGGCUUAACCCUGAGCGUGCUUUCGAUACGGGUUGACUUGAGGAAGGUAGGGGAGAAUGGAAUUCCUGGUGGAGCGGUGGAAUGCGCAGAUAUCAGGAGGAACACCAGUGGCGAAGGCGGUUCUCUGGGCCUUUCCUGACGCUGAGGAGCGAAAGCGUGGGGAGCGAACAGGCUUAGAUACCCUGGUAGUCCACGCUGUAAACGGUGGGUACUAGGUGUGGGGUCCAUUCCACGGGUUCCGUGCCGUAGCUAACGCUUUAAGUACCCCGCCUGGGGAGUACGGCCGCAAGGCUAAAACUCAAAGGAAUUGACGGGGCCCCGCACAAGCGGCGGAGCAUGCGGAUUAAUUCGAUGCAACGCGUAGAACCUUACCUGGGUUUGACAUGGAUCGGGAGUGCUCAGAGAUGGGUGUGCCUCUUUUGGGGUCGGUUCACAGGUGGUGCAUGGCUGUCGUCAGCUCGUGUCGUGAGAUGUUGGGUUAAGUCCCGCAACGAGCGCAACCCUUGUUCACUGUUGCCAGCACGUUAUGGUGGGGACUCAGUGGAGACCGCCGGGGUCAACUCGGAGGAAGGUGGGGAUGACGUCAAGUCAUCAUGCCCCUUAUGUCCAGGGCUUCACGCAUGCUACAAUGGCUGGUACAGAGAGUGGCGAGCCUGUGAGGGUGAGCGAAUCUCGGAAAGCCGGUCUCAGUUCGGAUUGGGGUCUGCAACUCGACCUCAUGAAGUCGGAGUCGCUAGUAAUCGCAGAUCAGCAACGCUGCGGUGAAUACGUUCCCGGG
rnacentral:rRNA from 1 species